UCCCUGGAGGACUAGUGGUUAGGCCACGGUGCUCUCACCGCCGUGGCCUGGAUUCGAUUCCCGGCCAGGGAA
rnacentral:tRNA from 2 species